rnacentral:rRNA from 1 species
GACGAACGCUGGCGGCGUGCUUAACACAUGCAAGUCGAACGGUGAAGCGCCUUCCUCUUUGGUGGGUGUGGAUGAGCGGCGGACGGGUGAGUAACAAGUUAGUGACCUGCCCCCUUCUACGGGAUAACAGCGUGACAGUGUGGCCAAUACGGGAUAUUCUGGGUGUGUGGCAUGAUGGGUCUGGGCACGAUAUUGUUUCGGUGGGGGAUGGGCUCGCGGCCUAUCAGCUUGUUGGUGGGGUGAGGGCCUACCGAGGCGGUGACGGGUUGGCGGCCAGGGAGGGUGGACGGUCACACAGGGGCUGAGACGCGGCGCAGACUCCGACGGGAGGCAGCGGUGGGGAAUGUUGCACGGGGGGCGCAAGCCUGAUGCAGCGACGCCGCGUGAGGGAUGGAGGCCUUCGGGUUGUGAACCUCUUUCGCCAGUGAAGCAGGCCUGCCUCGUUUGUGGGUGGGUUGACGGUAGCUGGAUAAGAAGCGCCGGCUAACUACGUG